rnacentral:rRNA from 1 species
UUUUUCCUACGGGAGGCAGCAGUGGGGAAUCUUCCGCAAUGGGCGAAAGCCUGACGGAGCAACGCCGCGUGAUCGAAUGAAGGCCUUCGGGUUGUAAAGAUCUGUUGACAGGGACGAAUAAGCCAUGCGAAUAGUUUGGUGUAUGACGGUACCUGUUUAGAAAGCUCCGGCUAACUACGUGCCAGCAGCCGCGGUAAUACGUAGGGAGCAAGCGUUGUCCGGAAUUACUGGGCGUAAAGGGCGCGUAGGUGGGUGCUUAAGUCAGGUGUGAAAACUCUGGGCUCAACCUGGAGACUGCACUUGAA